CAAUAGCGUAUAUUAAAGUUGUUGCAGUUAAAAAGCUCGUAGUUGGAUUUCGGGGCAGCCUGGCUGGUCCGCCGCAAGGCGAGUACUGGUCAGCCGCCCUUCCUCUCGAAAGCCCCGACUGCUCUGCGUUGCAGUGGUCGGGUAGUUCGGGACGUUUACUUUGAAAAAAUUAGAGUGUUCAAGGCAGGCCUACGCCUGAAUACAUUAGCAUGGAAUAAUGGAAGAGGACCUCGGUCCUAUUUUGUUGGUUUCCAGGGCCGAAGUAAUGAUUAAGAGGGACAGUUGGGGGCAUUCGUAUUUAAUUGUCAGAGGUGAAAUUCUCGGAUUUAUGAAAGACGAACAACUGCGAAAGCAUUUGCCAAGGAUGUUUUCAUUAA
rnacentral:rRNA from 1 species